rnacentral:rRNA from 1 species
AGACUUUCGGAGGAGGUAAUGACCAGUUCCAUUGAUGCCAUUUGGUAUUGUGGAUAGGGGUACGGUUUUCCACCGUACCGAAACCUAGCAGAGGGCCAGUCUGGUGCCAGCAGCUGCGGUAAUUCCAGCUCUGCGAGUUUGCUCCCAUAUUGUUGCAGUUAAAACGCCCGUAGUCUGAAUUGGCCAGCAAUGGUCGUAUGUAUUUAUACGUUCACUGUGAACAAAUCAGGACGCUUAGAGUAUGGUUUCAUGAAUGACUCAGCGCAGUAUGAAGUCUUUGUUUUCUUCCGAAAACAAGCUCAAUGAGAGCCAUCGGGGGUAGAUCUAUCUCAUGACGAGUGGUGGAAUACUUUGACUCAUGAGAGAGAAUCUGAGGCGAAGGCGUCUACCUAGAGGGUUUCUGUCGAUCAAGGGCGAGAGUAGGAGUAUCCAACAGGAUUAGAGACCCUGGUAGUUCCUACCUUAAACGAUGCCGACAGGAGUUUGUCACUUGUUAGUGGCAGAAUCUUUGGAGAAAUCAUAGUUCUUGGGCUCUGGGGGAACUACGACCGCAAGGCUGAAACUUGAAGGAAUUGACGGAAGGGCACACCAGGGGUGGAGCCUGUGGCUUAAUUUGAAUCAACACGGGGAAACUUACCAGGACCAGAUGUUUUUUAUGACUGACAGGCUUUGGGUCUUUCAGGAUAUUGCUUUUGGUGGUGCAUGGCCGUUGGUGGUGCGUGGGUUGACCUGUCUAGCGUUGAUUCAGCUAACGAGCGAGAUUAUCGCCAAUUAUCUACUUCGUCUAAGUCUUUAGAUGGAAGUUCUAAUUGGGACUCCCUGCGAUUUUAGCAGGUGGAAGAGGGUAGCAAUAACAGGUCCGUGAUGCCCUUUAGAUGCUCUGGGCUGCACGCGUGCUACAAUGUUAGGAUCAAUAGGACUGCAAAGCCGAGAGGCCGCGCUACUCUUAUAAUCCCUAACGUAGUUGGGAUUGACGUUUGUAAUCAGCGUCAUGAACCAGGAAUCCCUUGUAAAUGUGUGUCAACAACGCACGUUGAAUACGUCCCUGCCCUUUGUACACACCGCCCGUCGCUCCUACCGAUUGGAUGACUCGGUGAAAUCACCGGAUGCUUACGAGCAGAAAGUGAU